AAAGGCGUGUGUAUCCUAGUAUUUGUUUAUGUGUAAAAUGCAUUUAAGGUCCUGUAUUGUAAUUGUAGCUUUGCAAGCUCUUCAUUUCACAGGCAAUGGUGCUGUAACAAUUAAACUGCCGGGUUUGGAGUCAAUCAAAUUACCCAGUAUUCCGUCAAUCAAGUUGCCCAGUUUUCCGUCAAUUAACCGCCCAGUUCUGCCACUAUUUAACAAGCAUUUCAAACCAAGUUUCAAAAUAUCGGAUGAACGAAUAGACAAGAGAACGACAGCGAUCACUGGUAUAUUACCGACAAAAUCACUGUCUAACACUGAAGUGGCCUUUUCAUCAUCUACUUUAAGAAGUACUUCCGAAUAUUUACCCACAGUGGAGAAUUACAUGUCAGUGGCACACACAUAGACAAUCCUACUACGAUACAAAUAAUGGCACACCAGGACGUGUACUGCGGACAAAUUGUAACGGAAGGCACCUCACAUAACAUUCAGAUUCAUCUUUUGACAAUUUUGAUCAAUCGAACUGAGGACACGUAUAUUAUCUUGAACCAAGUUUAUUAUCACUAAAACUUUUUAGAUGUCCAA